CCCUGAGGCGCCCCCCGCCCCGCCGCGCCACGCCCACCCCGCCGGCGCCCCCCGCCCGCCGGCCCAGCCCGACUCUAGCCUACCCCACCCGGCGGGGCGCUUGCCGGGGGCCGCGGAGACUCGGGUGGCGUCUCCCGCCGCCUCCCCUUGUUGCCAAGACUUUUCUCUCUUCGCCGCCAGUCCCCUUGCCCUUGCGGAGAACUUGGCCGAAUUUGGUUCCGCUGCUGAUCGCAGACGUGAGGUGUGAGGGGGCUUGCUCCGCAGUGGACCGGGGCGGGGGCGGGGGCAGUGUAAAUAGACCUGGAGGAGCCGGAGGCCACAGAGGGGUGCUGGGCCAUUUGAAGGUGGGGCUGCCCCGGUGGUCAGUCCAUCUUGUAGUCCUUGCGCCGCGACGAGGCCGGGUUCCCAGAACCCCGGGCCGCUGUGUUUCGGCGCACGUGGCCGGAGCCCCUGCCUUCGGAUUCCGUUGAGAAGGACACAAACAUAGAAGACGCUCCACGGCUGAACGCUCUACUUAAAGGACACAUUGUGGUCCUCAAAGCUCAAAACUAUGGUAAAAUCUCCAAAGGCAGAGAUUCUGGGAAUUAUUUAAAUAAUUUUUGCAAAUGGUUCUCAAGAGGAAUUGCUAAAAGCACGUGUACAUCGGGGGCCAGUAGGAUCUGUUGCACAGUGAUUAAGACAGCUAGCUCUAGGACAGAGGUUCUCCGAGCGUGCUUCCCAGAUUGGUAGCCGUGGACCUCACCUGUGAACUUGCAGAGAUGAAAAUUCACAGGUGCCGACCCAGAAUCAGAAACUGGGGCCAGGGCCCAGCGUGUCUCUAUCUUGUGCUCCAGAUGGUUGUGAUGCAGACUAAUACUUGAAACUGAGACCAGAGCAUCUCCUGACGUCGCUUCCUGGGCUCACCACAAACUCUCCACUUGAGUUGAGGGAGUUACUUCACUAGUUCGUGCUUUCACGUGUGUAAAAUGGCGUGAUUAUGGCACCUAUAUCACAGGGUCCUUAUGAGGAUUAGAGGUGAUGUAUGUAAGAUGCCUAGAACAAGGCGUAAGUCUGUCCUGGUACAGAGAAUAACCAGCGAUUUCCAGCAGAGCAACAAAUAAGACUCAGUUUCCCGUUGUGUCUAGCAGCACCUAGGUGGGCUUGUAGGGAUUAAAUGAGAUAAUGUGUACAAAGAGCGUAGCACAGCAUGGGCCUCCUAGUAAUGCCUCGCCUGUGGCAAGGACGGACCACCGAUGGGGUGACCCUUGUCAGUAGGCACCUGUGUCCCUCUCUCACCUGCCGGUCCACAGCACUGCAGAGGCCCAGGUGAGGCCCAAGGCCUUUGUCCUGUGUUCUGACAAGUGUGUUCCUUCUGAGAGAGAGACACUGUGAAAAGAUACUAACCUACAAGGAUAAUGGUUCGGUUUGCAUGUCACUCCUAGCACACUACCUCCUUAUCACUGCAUAUAGCGUCAUUAGCCAUUUUUGGUCCCCAACUCUUCUGAUAGGGUAUGCCUCUAAUCUAAUUUUUUUUUAAUCCUACCCAGUUUAUAGCACAUUGUCUUUUAAACUAGCUGUUUAAAAUAGCAGUGGCCCGAGACCUUCUGGAGCAUUCCUGAAUUUUACCCUUCAGGAGAAGGCUUAAAAAUGAGCUGGCCUGUGGCAGUGUGGUCAAGAUGAAAAGACCGCAUUCUCAAAACAUGUGAAUCUACAGUUAUCUCAAAAAGCUUAAUGAAAAGUCACAAGUUUCAGGAGCAAAUAGAGCGAAGUCCGAAUUCUGGUUCCAAUACUGACCUACCCAUCCUUUUGGACAAGUCUCUUAAAGGGACUGACCCCCCCCCCCCACCUCUUCAUCUGUAGAAUGGACAUAAUAAUAUAUAUUUCAUGGUGUUCUUGUGUCACUGAGUUAUAUAAUGGAGCAUUUAAUUUGGACCUAUAGGCACACUUUACUCAUGUAAGCUAAAAUAGUAUAGAGACAGUUUGCAUUGGUGUUCCUUAUGUGUCUUACUAUAAGCAUUAUAGUUACAUGCUAUGCUACAGUGUUUUCUUUCCCUGUGAAAACAUUCCUGCUGUAUCUUAUGAGUGUUUUAAGAGGAUUUACCAGGGAUAAUUUAUUUUCGCCUGACAUUGGGACCUAAAUCCCUCCCUUGCCCUCACCUCGCUCCCCAACACAUACACAAAGAAGACUGAAUCCAAGGCAUCUAUGAGAACUGCUUAGUACAGUGGUACUGAAGCUUAAGUGUGCACGGGAAUCACUCAAGGAGCCACCCCUCCACCAUGCCCCUGUCCCCCACCUCCCAACCUCCCCACCUCCGCCCCAAGAACCACAGGCCAGUAAGGCUCAGGUGAACCCUGGGAUCUAUGGCUUUAACAAGUCCCCACGUGAGUGAUACAUAGCAACAUUUGAGGACAGCUGACUUAGGGUGGAUUGGGAUCCUGAUAAAUACUGCUUACCUUGCCUCUCUCUUCAUGCUUCUUUUGUGAAGUAUUUCCACCUGUAUUUGUAAGCCAUGGUUUUGUUCCCAUUUGAUAGUCAAUGUCAUGGAAGGAAGUAAGAAAACCUAGAGCCAGGAGUCCUGGAUACCAUUCCCUGCUCUCAUUUAACCUAGCUAGCUCCUUGAAUUACUCCCUCUCUCCUUAUUUCAGGGUUUCCAUUUUUCAGCUGGCGGAGGGAAAUCAUGUGUCUCCCUGUGAAUCUGGUGAAAGGCUGUUGGUAAAUUGUCUGGAGUUCUCCAGGCGAGGUUAUACAGACGUGAGUUGGGGCUGCUCACCGGGUGGCAUUAGGGCAGCAAGGACAAGAACAUCCAGGUCCCCCGAGGGCAGCCCUCCUGUGAGAUCACCCCUGAGCCAGUCUCCACAGUGGUGCCAGGUUAUCUCAACCAAUAAAAAAAAGUUCACAAAUAGUGUGCCGGUCUCUAGCUCUCUUACUUCAACAGAGCGGUCAGUCGCCAAUAGGGAAAUACAUAGGGUACGGUCCCCUUGGACAAACAAGGAUUGAGGUUGUUUUUCAAGACUUUGUAACCUUGUGUUAAAAUUCAGGACAGUGGGCGAAAGAGCAAAGUGUGACUAAGAAUUCAGACGGCCAGACAGGUGGCCACUGCCUUGUGUCUAGAAAUAAUGUUGAAAUGUCUUUGCAGGACAAUGAGCUGGAGGUCUCUUGGUACUUACUGUGUUGAUGGUACAGCUUAUGUAAUUUGGAUCCACUAAGAAUUCCAGCCACUUAGUGUUCUAUUUUAGUUUCCUUGGCUUAUUUAAAAAUUUGCAUAAAUAACCUUACAUGUUUUUAUGUAGAAGAGUAUUAAUGACCACACAACUUUUUGACAAACUCCCUAAAGGCAUGGCUUUUUUCUAUCAUUUUUCUUAUCUCUAACCAUUUUAUGAAGAUUUAAAAAAAAAUUCUAACUUAAAAGUCAUAUAACAAUGGGGUAGUGGACAGGACCUCAAAUAUGUAUUCUGUUACCCACAUUUCACAGAGGAAACAGCCCCACAGAAAUUAACUGUCUGCACUCCCGUGGGCACAAACUUCUCUUGUCAGGAUGCUAGUGACUUUCAUCUUGUUUAAUCCAGGGGCCAAACUCUCUGCCUCGUCUUAUCCCUCUCCUAAGCAGCCUUCUGCACAUGGAAUGCUCCCUGGAAGCAUACUGUUCUGAGGGUUUGUUUUUAUCUCUGUCACUGCUCCAGUACCUUCUCCCUAACCUCCUACCAAGGGUUUAGCCUUUGCCUAUGUGCAGUCACUUCCUAGGUCCUGUCAUCUGAUCCCAAGGUUUACAUAACAUUUCCAGCCCUGACCUCUCCCCUCGAGCAACAGCUUUAUACUUAGUAUCUCCAGUACUGGGGAGCUUUUGAAAACUGCCCUUCUCCCAGGCUUCCCCCUUCUCAGCAGACAGCACAAGCAGCCAAGCCCUGCUGCUUGGUCCCACACCUAGAAACUAGCAUGAAUUCCUCUACGUCCCUUGCCCCCCCACCCCCCUCCUUCAGCCCUCUUGCAUCCAAUCCAGCAGACCUACCAGCCCCUUCUCAGAAAGUAUCAAGUCAUGUCACACCCUAGUGCGUGGGUUUCCUUGCCCCUGCUAGAUCCACAUGCCCCCCCCCACCCCACCUGCACCUGCUGUCAGUCUCCCUGAUACUGUGCCCCCCCUGCUCCAGCUGUCCAGCAUUUCUGUUCAGUGAACACAUCAACCCCAUUCCUGCCUUAGGGACCUCACAUGUGAUGCUCCCUCUGCCUAGAACGCCCUCCCCCCCCAUCUCUGACAAUACAGCCAAAUACUGCCUUCACGGAGAGUACUUCCCAACUUUCUCACAUGAAGUGCCACCUCCCAGGUCACUCCUCGCUCCUUCACCUGAUUUGCUGGGGUCAGAGCUCUUCACACUCUCGGCUCUGUCUUGCUUGUCUGUGUCUUUAUUUUCUGUCUCUGCUACAAGAAUCUGUUCAUCACUGUGCCCUCCACUGCUCAGAUAGUGCCUAGGACCUAUUAGAUGUUCAUUGUGUAUUUGUUGAAUGAACAAAUGAAUGAGCCCUGCUAGUUGGUACCGAAGCCAGUGUAGUCAGGGUAGUUUUCUUUCCAGUAUAACUUUCCGCUGUGCGCUGGAUCACUAACCAUGGAAACACCUUGCUUACCUAGAUAUCAGCUGCCCAAAACACCAUGGAAAAACCAGAUGGUGGUGGGAGAAAAAAUGUUUAAAAAAUUCAUCUAUUUAGAAUCUUUCUGUUUUCCCUUUUAUUCCAAUUUUUGUGGGGGUUCUAACAAAUUUGAUUAGCUCUUUUCCCAGGACAUGAAGGAUUAGAAGGGAGGGUGCGAGGUAUAGCAGAUAGUCUGACAGCAGUAAGAUACAGUGCCUGACAGCAGACACAGAACUAUUACACAGAACAGACAAGGACAGAAGUAGAGCCGACUAGGGUCACGUAGCCCAGAGACAGAUGGCUCUACACUCUUCAGGUCCCGGAGGCCACAGUGUUCAUAAUAACAGUUUUCUCAGGAAAGGGGCUUACAUCUGCUCUGUAUUAUCAGAAAACAUGUCAUUUUAUAAUUUGUAAAAAUCAGAAAAUGUUCUAAUCUUCUAAAAAUAAUUCAAUAUACAACUAUGUACCCACUCUCCAGAUUUAACAAAUAGUAAUAUUUUAUCACAUUAUCUUCAGAUCUUUUUAAAAAAAGCAAGCAGAAAAGCCCACCCAGCCCUCGGAGAAGGCCUUAUUCUAAGGCUCCUUUGUGUUUCCUCUAUGCGUAGUUUAAUGUUUUAUACGAAAAAAUAUCCACAUAUCUGAAAACUGAGUAGCUCCCAAAUAAAUGAGUCAUUGGUAAUCAGGUGUUUGGUUGUAGCAUAUAUAAACCAUAAACCUUUUUAUAUCACCAUGACAUUUUUUCUCUCUCUUUUUGGUUUUUCAAAAGCUAGCUUAAUAAAGUGGUUAAUGAGCUGGAAAUGCCCAGCAUGGCAGGAUGGUUUCAGCAUCUGCAUGGAGUGCCAUCUAUUCAGGUUGUGAGCUCCUUGAAGCAGGUGGUGAGUGUUACCUGACCUGGCUAGAGCUUACUGAAUAUCUAAAGACUGACUCCAGAAUGAACUCAUCUUUAUAACAUCUUGAGCAAUGCUUUGGGAUGAAACAUGGACCACGGACGUCAUUCAGCAAAUAUUUACUGAGCCCCUGCGUCUUGUCAUGCCGUGGAUUGCAGUGGGGAGCAAGACAGAUGAAACCCCUAAAGUUCGCACUUCAUAAAAUUUGGCCUUUGGCUGUUUGGGGUUUACCAGACUUCCCAUGAAUUCCCACGAAAUUGGCAUUGUCCCUCGGCCAGUCUGCAAUUCCAAGCCACCUCCUGGGACUAGGUCCUCAACUGACCCCCAAUAAUUCAAUUCAGGAACGCGGGGAUGGCUGGGUGUUCGAGUCCAAAGUCAGCUGUAAGAUCUGGAGCUGGUCCCAGCUCUGCCGUGAUCCGGGAUUGCCGGCGCACCGCUUCAUACCGUGCUGCGGAGAACACGCUGGUGGGGCAGGCAGCUCAGUGACAAGGGGCGCAGCUAGACGGAAGGAACGGUGGUCACUGGAGAGGCAGGACAGUCUAGAAGACCAGCCACGACCCCUCAGUCUCUACCUGUGGCUGUGGCCAUGCUGGAAUGUGGGCCUGUUCUGCCACACGUCUCACUUUGAGGGAAAGCUUGAAAUCCUGAUUUGAACACGCAUUUUCCCAAUUCUUAAAUGUUGGCAGUUAGACUUUUUUUUUCUUUUUCUUCAAAACACUCUGCAAGCCAAACAAAACAUGUCUGUAGGCUGAGUGGGUACGUCUGCCGCCGUGUGCCCCACAGACCGGCUUCAUCAUCUGUGGCACAUACACGUUCAGCCCCUGCCAGCAAACAUGCCGCUCGGCUCCGCAGUGCUGUCACUCAGACUUGCUCCCGCCCCGCGGGCAACAUGGCUGGAUGUGGCAGAAGCCAGGCUGUCCCCAGUCUUUGCCACCCAAUCUUUCUGUUCUGCACAUACAUACAGACAGCGCUCCUGGUCACGCUUUCUGUUUGGGGAGCUGUCUGUCACAGCCGACAUCUCAAGGUCUUAGACUUAAGGGACGUUCAGGGAAGGGGGUCCCUCGUUUGUGCAGUCCCACUCCCUGGCUGGCCCUGCCUGUGUUGACUGUGGCGGCGCCCACCGAGCAGUAUGCCCAGCCCCUGCUCUGCCCUUUCAUCCUCUACACACCCACUGAACAUUAGAGGAGCUCCUGGCUUUCUGCAUAUUUCCUUGCCAGAACAGCAUGUUUUGGGUCUAGAUUGGCCAUAUCCCACAACCUUGUCGGCCAGCUCCCCUGAUCCGCCAUCACUAUCGCUGCAAAACCUGCUCCGAGAGGCGGCAGAAUCAACCCAGCACCCCGUGUGAGUCUCGGGUACAGAGCUGCUGCCAUUGCAAGCAGCCUUGUUCUUCGGAAGACGUCUGACCAUCCUAGAACACGUUUCUCCUCCUGGACCCACCUCUCACAAUGCUGGGACUUUAGGCAUGCAUCUCCUGAGACUUGCGUUUAUUUUGAAAUCGUUUUUAUGAAAGAAAGCAAAGCAGCCCACCCACAAUCAAAAAGCUGUGUUAAGUCUUAGAGUGGAGUUUACUGGGGUUGUCAUCCUGCCUUCUGUAGACUUUAGGGUGGGUACUGUCUAUCAGAGAGCAAUCAAACCUGUAGUAAUGCUGACAAGCUGGGUUUGGGGACUCUCCCAAAGCUCAGAAUUCUGGUGUUCUCUGUCCUCUGUCCUGUAUCCAAAGGCCUGGCCAUACAUAGCCUUCUAUGCCUUGCAACUGAGAACAUCCUGUAGCUGAGGAAGAUCUUGCUUCCACGUAGAAGAUGGAAUAUUUCCUCCCCCCAAGGGGGCUCCACAAGGGUAAUGCAUCCGGCCUCUGCUGUCCCCUCCACGGGAGAAGGCCCGAUGUGCGCGGACUGGUGCACUCGGAAGGAGGGCUUGUCCCUUUGUGUCUCUAUCUCUUGGGACCCAGCCCACCUGCAAGGAGGACAGCUCUGCCCCCUCCAGGCCACACUUGCCGUAGGAAAGGCGAUCACUCCCAGCUGGGAGCCCCCUGUGGUGCAGGGCGACCCCCAGCUCAUCUAAUACUGUGGUUCUGUCUGAGGACUUCCGCCUGCCCUCAGAUCUAGGCCGUAUUCCCAGCAGCGGCUUUAUCACAAUAAAGCUCUCAGGUGUUUCUCCGUUUUUUCCACACCAGGUUGGGAAAGGGGAAUUAUAUAUUAGGCACCUUCAAACUGUAACAGGGACAUCCAGUCUCCCCACCAGGCUGCUCCAUGCAAGCUGAAAAUCAUGGUCAUCCCUCAAGUGCCAUUUCGGGACCUUGAACUUCCUGCUUGGACUCCCGCUGCACCUCCGGUGAGACAAUGAAACCUCUUUUCUUUAACAAUUUCAAGACACUCAGCCAGUAAGGCUCCUUAUCUGUUUCUGAUUGUCUCUGUCUCUGCAAUAUCAGAGAGUCCCACUGUCUACCGAUCAAGCCAGCGAGGUGCCCCUCCACUUGGAUAUUUAACCGAAUUUUUGUCUCUUACUGUCGUGCUCAUUCUUUGAUCAUUAAGUGUGAAGGGUUCUUUAUAAAUGUAAUAUAUUUGCCGUGGAAUUCGGAGGAGCAUUUAAUCUCUACUCACAAUUUUUGCGAACCUUUGUAGCACAGACCUCCGAAAAGGGAAAGCAGCACACUGUGUCAUCUGAGAAGGGUCUCUUUGCUGCUAAAAUGUGGCAGGCUCGGUGCCCUUCCACGCCUCCUCCCAGCACACCUCCCCUAACCCUCUGUCCCACCUCUCCCACUACCCUCAAGACACCUGUUCCCUCCUGGCUUCUCUCUCUUCUCCAUCCGGAAUGCCCAUCUUCAGCCACUCUAUCUUUCCCGUUUUAAAAACACUACUCAGGAAUCCAAUUUCCCCUAAGUAACGGUUUAGACUCCAUUCUAAGUACUGUGCCAACUCUCAAAGCAUUUAAGACUAGACUUACUUGGUCCAAAAUCUCAUGUUUAUGGUUAGUUACGUCAAAAAGUAUUUUUCAUUAGUCUAAGCAUUUUAAUUGAAGGCAGAAACUUGGUUAUGGCUCCUUGAAGACAUUUGUCCUUGCUUCCUGCUGUCCAGUUCAGUGUCUGACGCUGGACAGAACUCAAUCAACGUUUUCAUCCUAACAGUGUGAUUGAAUGAACCAGGAUGUUUUCCUUCCAACUCCCCCACAGCACUAAGAGUUCUUAGCAAACAGUAGCAAUUAUGGGGGAGCAGAGGGUGACUCACUGAACAUUUAUCCUUGGAGACCUUUUGCAGAAGAUUCUACCUAUUGGAACUGAAUGGAGCUCUUUAUAACUACCCCUUUUUAUUCCUAUUUUCUGUUUCCUUCUCAUCCUAAUGUGUUUAAUGCAUAUCUUUGUUUAUUUGUAUUCUCUGCAAAAUGCAUAUUGUUUUGUGUACACAUACUCUUAAUUUAUAUAACUUAUGUAAGAUUGGGGGGCCUGGCCGGAUCAGUCGGUGGAGUGUUCAGCUCUUGAUCUCAGGGUUGUAAGUUUGAGCCCCAUGUUGGGUGUACAGAUGAUUUAAAAAUAAAAUCUUUUAAAAAAUGGUAUAAGGUGCACCUGGGUGGCUUAGUUGGGUAAGCGUUUGCCUUCAGCUUAAGUCAUGGUCCCAGGGUCCUGGGAUCGAGCCCCUGCUUCUCCCUCUGCCCCAUCCCCUGCUCAUUCUCCCUCUCGAUCUCUCUUUCUCAAAAAAAAAAAAAAAAAAAAAAUCUUUAAAAAAUGAUAUAAGAUUAUAUAUCUCCUUUUAAUGUAUUUUCUUUAUGAUUAUUAUCCACCUGUGCUGCUGUAGGUUUCCUCACUCAUCAUCCUUCUGGUGAGUCUGCAUCAGGUGUCACCUGCCCUCUCUCCCAGGUCAGACAUUCAGGCUACCCCCACAAAUGCCACUAAUGUUGCACACAGAUUUCUAAGGACCUGAGCAUUUCACUGAUAUGUAUAAUCAUCAGUGAAAUCGUUGGGGCCUGGGAAGGUGGUCACAUCACUUAUUAUUUGAACAAGGAGAAGUGAGAGAAUGAAAGGCUGCACUAUUAAUAAUUACAUCAGGACAAGAGGCAUAGACCAAGAUGGUCCCAGACACACCAAGAUGAGUGGUCACACUAGUCAAAAGUCUAAGUGUGCAGGGGUGCCUCGCUGGAGCAGUCGGUUCAGCGUCUGACUUUUGAUUUUGGCUCAGGUCGUGAUCUCAGGGUCGUGAGAUCGAGUCCCGUGUGGGGGCUCUGUGCUCAGUGUGGAGUCUGCUUGGGAUACUCUCUCUCCCUCUCCCUCUGCCCCUCCCACUUGAGCUCUCUCUCUCUCAAACAAAUAAAUAAAUCUUUAGAAAAAUGGUCUAAGUCUGUAUCAAUUGACUAAGGGAGAGUCAUACUCUCACACCGGUACCCCUCCGCGACAGGGCACGGGGAUCCCACAGCUUCACAUCCAACUACCCUUACUUACGUCAUGGUGCCAUGACGACACCUACAAAUAACCUCAUUAUUGCUUUAAUCUGCGUUCCUCUGAUCACUAACAUAUUUGAGUAGUUCUUCUGUGCUGCUGGCCUUUUGGAUUUCCUACUUCAGAAAUCUUCCUUUCUCUUGCCUGCUUUUGUUGGGGUUUCCUUGUUGUUUGCCAGAGUUUCCCACAUUUUUCUACAAAUCCCCUGCCAGUCAUUGCGAAUACAUUCACCAUCAGCUGCAUUAAUCUUGCAUGUGGUGUUCUUUCUAAUUGAAUCCAUCAAUGAUUUGCCUGAUAGUUUUAUGUCCUUAAUAUUCACUGUUUGAAGUAUUCAAUAUUUGAAGUAUUUUCUUUCCCUAGUUCAGAAAAACAUUCCUUUCAUUUUCCCCCAUUAAAUUUUUUAGUUUUACCCCAUGUAGGUCUUUAUUUCCCCAGAAAUGUAAUUCACCCUUAUGUGCAAUUAAGUGUGGGUGCAAUUUUACUUUUUUUUCCCAUACGGCGAGACACUUUCCCCAGCUCCUUCACUUUAACAUCCAUUCUUUCCCCAUCGUUUGGUGACGUCACCUCUAUCAGGCAUGAAGUUGCCGUGUGCACCUGGGUCUGACUGCUGGGUGGUCUGUGUGUGUUGACAUCUUACUGCCUGUGGCUCCGCAGUCAGCGUAACCUAAUAUCCGGCAGGGCCAAUUUCUCUUCGGUAUUCCUUUUUGUUCAGCGUGGAACUUUACGAGAUCUCAUUAUAUAAACAAGUGGAUCUCAGAAAGAUCUCUGCUGGGACAUGUCCAGAGCAGGCUUUGUGGCUCCACUUGAUUUUUUUUUUUUUUUUUUUAAGAUGUACUUAUUUAUUUGAGAGAGGGAGAGAGCAUGCGUGCGUGAACAAGGAGAGGGAGAAUCUUUUUUUUUUUUUUUUAAGAUUUUAUUCAUUUAUUUGACAGAGAGAGAGAUCACAAGUAGGCAGAAAGGCAGGCAGAGAGAGAGGGGGAAGCAGGCUCCCUGCCACGCAGAGAGCCCUAUGUGGGGCUCGAUCCCAGGACCCUGAGAUCAUGACCCGAGCCGAAAGCAGAGGCUUAACCCACUGAGCCACCCAGGCGCCCCGAGAAGGAGAAUCUUAAGUCAACUCCACACUGAGCACUGCCUGCCGUCGGGCUCUAUCUCACGACCCUGAGAUCAUGACCUGAGCCAAAAUCAAGAGUCACAUGCUUAACUGACUGAACCACCCAGGUGCCCCAGAUAAUUUUAUAAAAUUUUGUUUUAUUUUUUAAGUUAUCUCUACAUCCAAAGUGGAGCUUGAACUCAUAACCCCGAGAUCAAGAGUCACACUCUCUACCGACUGAGCCAGCGAGGUCCCCCUCCACUUGGAUAUUUAACCGAAUUUUUGUCUCUUACUGUCAUGCUCAUUGUUUGAUCAUUAAAUGUGAAGGGUUCUUUAUAAAUGCAA